AAGCUAAUCAAGGUAUGCUUGCUCAAUUUCUCUGGUGUGAAAUUUCUUGCAGCAAAAUUAGUUCAGAACUUGUUGCAUCCUUUGGAAUAAAUUUAAAUUGGCUUUUCAAUAUAUGCCUUGGAUGAUGCUGCACUUCAACACACCCUUUGUCAGAUGGAUCCAAACAAGGACAGCAGCUGCAGUGUCAGAAAAUGCCAUAGUUCUGAGUUUUAAAUCGAGGGUCUUUUGCCAUUCAGUAUAGGUGGAUCUAUAAUUUUCUUGUCAUUAAUUUAUGUGUGUUUACAUUUGGGCCUUGGGUUACAAGUUGUGAAAUAUUUGGCUGCCAAAUAUGAAGAGCUAGGGUGUGAUUAGUGAAAUGGAUGGGCAAGCCUGAUAAGGUGAUCUAGUCACAUUGGUCUGGUUACCGCUGUUAACUUCACUUCAUGUGAACCUUUAGCUUAAUACAUAUUUCUCUUGCACUUGACUACCAAGAUGAAUUUUGAGGAAGGCUACUUUUUUCUUUGAAGCAAAGUUUGGUGUAGAAAUUUUGUAGAUUGUUGGUCAUAUGUUUCUAGGCUAUCCUUUGUAGGUUUUGGGGUUUUCUUUUGUGACAUAUGUUCAAUCAUGAAUUUGGAAAGAAAAUUAAUGGAAAGCCCCAAUUUUUGGAUGAUUAUGAAAUGCA